CUUGAUGGGAAACAGGUCAAUAUUCCUGUACCGAUGUGUAGUGCGAUGUGGGGACGAAGAAGGUUAGCUCAGCCGGGUGUUGGAUGUCCCGGUUCAAGCCUGUAGUCGUGCCUGGUAGGUAAAUCCGCCGGGCUUAGAUGAGAGGUGAUAACGAGGCGGCUUGCCGUCGAAGUGAGCGAUACCCUGCUUCCAGGAAAAGCCACUAAGCUCCAGCUACACACGACCGUACCGCAAACCGACACUGGUGCGCGAGAUGAGUAUUCUCAGGCGCUUGAGAGAACUCUGGAGAAGGAACUCGGCAAAUUGACACCGUAACUUCGGAAGAAGGUGUGCCUUUAGUAGGUGAAGUCGUACAGACGGAGCCCAAUGAGGCCGCAGAGAAUCGGUGGCUGCGACUGUUUAUUAAAAACACAGCACUCUGCAAAGACGAAAGUCGACGUAUAGGGUGUGACCCUGCCCGGUGCUGGAAGAUUAAAUGAUGGGGUGCAAGCUCUUGAUUGAAGUCCCAGUAAACGGCGGCCGUAACGAUAACGGUCCUAAGGUAGCGAAAUUCCUUGUCGGGUAAGUUCCGACCCGCACGAAUGGCGUAACGAUGGCCACACUGUCUCCUCCAGAGACUCAGCGAAGUUGAAAUGUUUUGAUGAUGCAAUCUCCCCGCGGAAAGACGGAAAGACCCCAUGAACCUUUACUGCAGCUUUACAUUGGACUUUGAAUAGAUCUGUGUAGGAUAGGUGGGAGGCUUUGAAGCCGGGACGCUAGUCUUGGUGGAGCCAACGUUGAAAUACCACCCUGGUGUGUUUGAGGUUCUAACCUUGACCCAUUAUCUGGGUUGGGGACAGUGUAUGGUAGGCAGUUUGACUGGGGCGGUCUCCUCCCAAAGUGUAACGGAGGAGUUCGAAGGUACGCUAGGCACGGUCGGAAAUCGUGCUGAUAGUGCAUAGGCAUAAGCGUGCUUGACUGCGAGACUGACAAGUCGAGCAGGUACGAAAGUAGGACUAAGUGAUCCGGUGGUUCUGUAUGGAAGGGCCAUCGCUCAACGGAUAAAAGGUACUCUGGGGAUAACAGGCUGAUACCGCCCAAGAGUUCAUAUCGACGGCGGUGUUUGGCACCUCGAUGUCGGCUCAUCUCAUCCUGGGGCUGUAGCCGGUCCCAAGGGUAUGGCUGUUCGCCAUUUAAAGAGGUACGUGAGCUGGGUUUAAAACGUCGUGAGACAGUUUGGUCCCUAUCUUCCGUGGGCGCUGCAAGAUUGAGAGAGCCUGCUCCUAGUACGAGAGGACCGGAGUGGACGCACCUCCGGUGUAUCGGUUGUCACGCCAGUGGCAUUGCCGAGUAGCUAAGUGCGGAAGAGAUAACCGCUGAAAGCAUCUAAGUGAAU
rnacentral:rRNA from 1 species